GUGUAAGGUGACUGCACGAGGUUAUAUUCUAUUGGGAGAAGACAGACAAACCGAUUGAAAACAAACACCCAGAGAAGACUACUGGACAGACUCACCCCUAGAGCAACGUUUCCUCUAAGUUUUGGUGAAUUUGUUGACUCCAAGCCUAAAGAAUAAAAGAAAUAUAAUAAAAGUAGAGUAAGAAAGGAGGAAAAGAAAAUCCAAAACAAGACUCCAAAAGGCACAAUUAUUAGUGUGGGAAUCAGGAGGAAACUUCACUUUGGCAACAUGGCCAAAUGUACCAGUUCCUGUUGUCUUAGGAUGAGCAGAGGCUGGGGAGGAAAAGGGCCCAGUUGAAGUCUACAAUAUUGGUCUCAAGUGCUGUUCUUGCUCCGUGUCUGUGGGCUUCAUGAGGAGAGCGUUGGCUCCAACCUGCCCAACAAGGGGCUCUCUUCUAGGCACGCUCGUACACAAUAACAAUCUCUUGUGAGAGAUUGUGGGGACUAGAGAUUUGCCUUAAUCCUACUAAGUUUCUGGAGUUCCAUUGUGGCAUGAAUUCCUGAUAUCCUAUUAGAGAGCUACACCUAUUUAACUUGGAACCACAUGGACAGCAGAGAACAGGAGCGCUGUCUUUCUCAGGCAAACAGACCAAUAGCCUGUUUUCUCCUGCUGCUGGAAGCUGAGAGAUCAAGGAAAUUCAGAAAAC